GAGGAAUAUUGGUUAAUGGGCGAGAGCCUGAACCAGCCAAGUCGCGUGAAGGAUGACUGCCCUAUGGGUUGUAAACUUCUUUUUUAGGGGAAUAAAGUGAGUCACGUGUGACUUUUUGUAUGUACCCUACGAAUAAGCAUCGGCUAACUCCGUGCCAGCAGCCGCGGUAAUACGGAGGAUGCGAGCGUUAUCCGGAUUUAUUGGGUUUAAAGGGUGCGUAGGCCGACUUUUAAGUCAGCGGUGAAAUUUUCCGGCUCAACCGGGACAUUGCCGUUGAAACUGAUAGUCUUGAGUGUAAAUGAGGUAGGCGGAAUGUGUGGUGUAGCGGUGAAAUGCUUAGAUAUCACACAGAACUCCAAUUGCGAAGGCAGCUUACUGGCAUACAACUGACGCUGAGGCACGAAAGUGUGGGUAUCAAAC
rnacentral:rRNA from 1 species